rnacentral:piRNA from 1 species
UCAAAUAUCCUUGUUGACUAA